GGUAUCAAUUCUAGAGACCCGUUCCCGGAUACGACUGUCACUUUAAUAGUAUCUGGCGACGGCGUGUUACCGUAAUCACAAAUACUGCGAAAACUACGUGAAACGGUGGCGCCAUCAUUAUGCGCCGGCCAAAAACUUCAAUGCGGAGGCAAGGCCAAGCCAACUACGGGGCAUUGCGCAUUGGGCGCGUUAGAUUCGUGCUCCGGGAACAUUUUCUCUUUCACGGGAUCACUUAACACCUCCAAAGUGACUUCCGGUGCACGUUCCCGGGUGCACCCUGCGCACCUCUUCUUCGGAGCCGGGGAGCCGGAGAACGCUGGGGAAUAGCGAGGCCAGUUCCGGAGCGUGACGCAUGUUCCGGUGUACUGCCUUUCGAAAUGGCACAACCCUUGGAACACGUUGCAACCGUCCGGAAGCGGAACAUCGUGCGCGGACGAUCGUUGACGAAGGAGGACGAAGCGGUCGUUGUAAAUCUCGUGAAUGCACGUAUAGUCAGUGUUUUGAUGCCAGAGCUGACUGAUGGGUGCACAUGGUUUCUUCAGAGGUUCUUCCUUUGAAAAAAUAAACGUGUUUUGAUGCCAGAGCUGACUGAUGGGUGCACAUGGUUCCAUCGUAAGUUCUUCCUUUGGAAAAAUAAACGUGUUUUGAUGCCAGAGCUGACUGAUGGGUGCACAUGGUUUCUUCGUAGGUUCUUCCUUUGAAAAAAUAAACGUGUUUUGAUGCCAGAGCUGACUGAUGGGUGCACAUGGUUCCUUCGUAUGUGCUUCAUUUGAAAAAAUAAACGUGUUUUGAUGCCAGAGCUGACUGAUGGGUGCACAUGGUUCCUCCGUAGGUUCUUCCUUUGAAAAAAUAAACGUGUUUUGAUGCCAGAGCUGACUGAUGGGUGCACAUGGUUCCUUCGUAGGUUCUUCCUUUGAAAAAAUAAACGUGUUUUGAUGCCAGAGCUGACUGAUGGGUGUACAUUGUUCCUGCGUAUGUUCUUCCUUUGAAAAAAUAAACGUGUUUUGAUGCCAGAGCUGACUGAUGGGUGCACAUGGUUCCUUCGUAGGUUCUUCCUUUGAAAAAAUAAACGUGUUUUGAUGCCAGAGCUGACUGAUGGGUGCACAUGGUUCCUUCAUAGGUUCUUCCUUUGAAAAAAUAAACGUGUUUUGAUGCCAGAGCUGACUGAUGGGUGCACACGGUUCCUUCGUAAGUGCUUCAUUUGAAAAAAUAAACGUGUUUUGAUGCCAGAGCUGACUGAUGGGUGCACAUGGUUCCAUCGUAAGUUCUUCCUUUGAAAAAAUAAACGUGUUUUGAUGCCAGAGCUGACUGAUGGGUGCACAUGGUUCCUUCGUAUGUGCUUCAUUUGAAAAAAUAAACGAGCUGACUGAUGGGUGCACAUGGUUCCUUCGUAGGUUCUUCCUUUGAAAAAAUAAACGAGCUGACUGAUGGGUGCACAUUGUUCCUUCGUAUGUUCUUCCUUUGUAAAAAUAAACGUGUUUUGAUGCCAGAGCUGACUGAUGGGUGCACACGGUUCCUUCGUAUGUGCUUCAUUUGAAAAAAUAAACGUGUUUUGAUGCCAGAGCUGACUGAUGGGUGCACAUUGUUCCUGCGUAUGUUCUUCCUUUGAAAAAAAUAAACGGGUUUUCAUGCCAGAGGUGGCUGGCGCAUUUUCAUCACUAUGUACAUAGAAAAUAAAUCCCAAUGUGACAAACAGCACAA